UACGGGGGGGAGCAAGCGUUGUUCGGAAUUACUGGGCGUAAAGGGCGCGUAGGCGGCCCGCUAAGUCGAACGUGAAAUCCCCAGGCUCAACCUGGGAACUGCGUCCGAUACUGGCAGGCUUGAAUCCGGGAGAGGGAUGUGGAAUUCCAGGUGUAGCGGUGAAAUGCGUAGAUAUCUGGAGGAACACCGGUGGCGGAAGGCGGCAUCCUGGACCGGUAUUGACGCUGAGGCGCGAAAAGCUAGGGGAGCAAACGGG
rnacentral:rRNA from 1 species